rnacentral:misc_RNA from 1 species
AAGACGCCACAGCAGUGAC